rnacentral:rRNA from 1 species
GACGUAGGGCGCGAGCGUUGUCCGGAUUUAUUGGGCGUAAAGAGCUCGUAGGCGGUCUUGUGCGCGGACUGUGAAAACCCGCGGCUCAACUGCGGGCCUGCAGCCGAUACGGGCAGGCUAGAGGUUCGGUAGGGGAGACUGGAAUUCCUGGUGUAGCGGUGAAAUGCGCAGAUAUCAGGAGGAACACCGGUGGCGGAAGGCGGGUCUCUGGGCCGAUACUGACGCUGGAG